UAGACGGAAGCCCGUUGGUUUAGGCAUCUAGCUGUUAACUAGGAUUUUGCGGGAUCGAGGCCCGCCUGUCUAG
rnacentral:tRNA from 1 species